GACAGAGGGUGCAAACGUUGUUCGGAUUUACUGGGCGUAAAGCGCGUGUAGGCGGCUUUACAAGUCGGAUGUGAAAGCCCACGGCUCAACCGUGGAAGUGCAUCCGAAACUGUAUCGCUGGAGUCCCGGAGAGGAAGGUGGAAUGCUUGGUGUAGAGGUGAAAUUCGUAGAUAUCAAGCAGAACACCUGCGGCGAAGGCGGCCUCGUGGACGGUGACUGACGCUGAGACGCGAAAGCGUGGGGAGCAAACAGGGAUAAGAAACCC
rnacentral:rRNA from 1 species